UGGGGAAUUUUGGACAAUGGGCGCAAGCCUGACCCAGCCAUGCCGCGUGCAGGAUGAAGGCCUUCGGGUUGUAAACUGCUUUUGUACGGAACGAAAAGGUGCCUUCUAAUAAAGGGCGCUCAUGACGGUACCGUAAGAAUAAGCACCGGCUAACUACGUGCCAGCAGCCGCGGUAAUACGUAGGGUGCGAGCGUUAAUCGGAAUUACUGGGCGUAAAGCGUGCGUAGGUGGUUGUUUAAGUCUGAUGUGAAAGCCCUGGGCUCAACCUGGGAAUGGCAUUGGAAACUGGGCAGCUAGAGUGCGGUAGAGGGUAGUGGAAUUCCCGGUGUAGCAGUGAAAUGCGUAGAGAUCGGGAGGAACAUCUGUGGCGAAGGCGACUGCCUGGACCAGCACUGACACUGAGGCACGAAAGCGUGGGGAGCAAACA
rnacentral:rRNA from 1 species